rnacentral:rRNA from 1 species
UACGUAGGUGGCAAGCGUUGUCCGGAUUUACUGGGCGUAAAGAGCGCGCAGGCGGUCGGAUAAGUCGAAUGUGAAAGCCCCCGGCUCAACUGGGGAGGGUCAUUCGAUACUGUUCGACUCGAAGGCAGGAGAGGGAAGUGGAAUUCCCGGUGUAGUGGUGAAAUGCGUAGAUAUCGGGAGGAACACCAGUGGCGAAGGCGACUUCCUGGCCUGUUCUUGACGCUGAGGCGCGAAAGCGUGGGGAGCAAACGGG